GACGUAGGGCGCGAGCGUUGUUCGGAUUCACUGGGCGUAAAGGGUGCGUAGGCGGUUGGGUAAGUCUGAUGUGAAAUCUCACAGCUUAACUGUGAAACUGCAUUGGAUACUAUCCGGCUAGAGGAAUGGAGGGGAGACUGGAAUACUUGGUGUAGCAGUGAAAUGCGUAGAUAUCAAGUGGAACACCAGUGGCGAAGGCGAGUCUCUGGGCCUUACCUGACGCUGAGGAGCGAAAGCGUGGGGAGCAAACAGG
rnacentral:rRNA from 1 species